CGACACAUCUAUAUAUGACCCUCUCUUACAGCAGCCUCAGCUCUGCAGCGGAAGGUGCUGACCCCGGGGGAGGAUGGAGGUCUGUACCUGCUUGGAGGGGAACACAAGGAAAUGUUCCCUGGAGUGCCAGCAGCUGGGAUUGGUGGUCAAACAGGACAGCAGUGCCUGGCUAUAAACUUCACUUGGAUUGUAAGGGAAAGCACAGCAUCCUCAGACCCAUGGAAACCACAACACUGGGCCAAAUCAGGAGCACAUCUGUACAUCAC